AACGCGAAGAACCUUACCAGGUCUUGACAUCCCGCUGACCGCUCUGGAGACAGAGCUUCCCUUCGGGGCAGCGGUGACAGGUGGUGCAUGGUUGUCGUCAGCUCGUGUCGUGAGAUGUUGGGUUAAGUCCCGCAACGAGCGCAACCCUUAUCUUUAGUUGCCAGCAUUCAGUUGGGCACUCUAGAGAGACUGCCGUCGACAAGACGGAGGAAGGCGGGGAUGACGUCAAAUCAUCAUGCCCCUUAUGACCUGGGCUACACACGUGCUACAAUGGUUGGUACAACGGGACGCUACCUCGCGAGAGGAUGCCAAUCUCUGAAAACCAAUCUCAGUUCGGAUUGUAGGCUGCAACUCGCCUACAUGAAGUCGGAAUCGCUAGUAAUCGCGGAUCAGCAUGCCGCGGUGAAUACGUUCCCGGGCCUUGUACACACCG
rnacentral:rRNA from 1 species